rnacentral:rRNA from 1 species
UACGUAGGGUGCAAGCGUUAAUCGGAAUUAUUGGGCGUAAAGGGUGCGCAGGUGGUUAUAUAAGUCAGAUGUGAAAUCCCUGGGCUUAACCUAGGAAUUGCGUUUGAAACUAUAUAGCUAGAGUGUGGCAGAGGGGAGUGGAAUUCCAUGUGUAGCAGUGAAAUGCGUAGAGAUGUGGAAGAACACCGAUGGCGAAGGCAGCUCCCUGGGUUAACACUGACGCUCAUGCACGAAAGCGUGGGGAGCAAACAGG